rnacentral:tRNA from 1 species
GCCCGGGUGGCGGAAUUGGCAGACGCGCAUGGUUGAGGGCCAUGUGCCCGUUAAGGGCGUGCUGGUUCGAUCCCAGUCCCGGGCA